rnacentral:rRNA from 1 species
UACAGAGGUCCCAAGCGUUGUUCGGAUUCACUGGGCGUAAAGGGUGCGUAGGCGGUCGGGUAAGUCUGACGUGAAAUCUCCAAGCCUAACUUGGAAACUGCGUUGGAUACUAUCCGGCUUGAGGAAUGGAGGGGAGACUCGAAUACUUGGUGUAGCAGUGAAAUGCGUAGAUAUCAAGUGGAACACCAGUGGCGAAGGCGAGUCUCUGGACAUUUCCUGACGCUGAGGCACGAAAGCCAGGGGAGCAAACGGG